rnacentral:rRNA from 1 species
AAAUAGAACUUUGCAGAGAGAGUUAAGAGGGCGUGAACCGUUAUUGGCUAACGAAUCGGAGCCACGAAGUCGUUUCGUUGUUUAGCCCGAACUAGGUUCAGCGAGCGACGCGCUUGCGCGCGUCCCUCGUGUACUCCUGUUGUUUGGCCAAACCUUGUAAGCGUACACUGCAACCAGUUAGACGAUUGGCUAUGGACUUAGUUGCGCAAGUUUGUUGCGGCGUUAAACCCACGACGCUUGUGUAGCGCAAAAUUUGUUUAGAUUGAUUAGUAGUAGCGCUGUGUGCGGGCUUGCCCGCAUUUGUGUUGCUGAAUCAACUCUCUAAGUGAACUAUAACCAAAUACUGACUGGCAAAAUGAAAAUUGCUCCACCUGUGUGAGCAUAACACAAAACGCCGCCAACAACACAGCUGCCUACACAGUCGGCUAUUUGGUUUAAGCUCAGCAUUUUUAAAUUCAGACCUGCUCGCUACCAGUGGGGCAACCCCUGGUGCUUGUAUGGCUUCUGUCUAAUUGAGUGUUGACUUGACCAAGUAUUGUCUCGGCUGUGCAACGAUGGGGCAGUUGUGCUAGCUGAGCGGUUAUUUGAAUUGGCAGUGAGUAGGUCGGCUUUCCGAACGACCCGUCUUGAAACACGGACCAAGGAGUCUAAUUAGGCAUCGAGUCGAUCGGUCUUGAUAGGCCAGACAGAGUGGUAUUUCCACUCGCUUGAAGGCGUAGAGAAAUCAAAUCGUGUGAUCGUGGCUUUAAACAAUACCAGUUUCCACGCGCAACAUGUGCCUGUUCGUAUAACAAUGUGCUUCAUUGCACUUGCUGAGCGGAGCAAGGAGAUGCCUGAUUGGGACCCGAAAGAUGGUGAACUAUGCUUGGGCAAAUUGAAGCCAGAGGAAACUCUGGUGGAGGAUUGUAGCGAUUCUGACGUGCAAAUCGAUCGUCAGACCUGAGUAUAGGGGCGAAAGACUAAUCGAACCAUC